ensembl:lncRNA
GUUUUUGUUUUGAUUGAGCCCGCGUGCAGCUGGCGCGUGUCGAGUCACGUGCCGUGGGCGGGAGGGGGCUGGGGCGCGGGAGCGGGGGCGCUGUGACGCACGCGUCCGGAGGGCCCGGCGCCCGCGGGGGCCGGGGAAGAGGGGCGAGGGGGCGUGUGCCCCAGACGAUCCCGGGCGCGCCCGUGUCAAGGCGCGUCCGGCGGGGUCCAAGGGAGGUGAUGCCGGUGAGCAGGGCUCGGACGUGGGUGUAAAUCCCCGCGCUUGGAGUCCGUGGUCACAGCGUCUGGGCGAGCCUCCUGCGCCCGGGCCGGCCUGCGCUGAUUCGGUCGGAGGUCUCUCAGACCUCACCGGCGCGGCGCUCUCUUUGGCUGGCAGAGAACUACGCGUGGUUCUUAAUCCUGUUUAUACAUACAAGCAACUGAAUAGCUUCAGAAAGAACUCCGUUGCCCGGCCCCGUUCCAGACCAGUGGAACCCCAAUCUACCCCGGGCCUGGACAUGGUGCAUUAGAAAAAAGACCCUCCCUAAGUAUUUCUGAUGCACAGGGAGGGGGUCAGAACUUAUCGAAGUAACCAGCUUGAUGGAAUAGAUAGUUGUGAAACCACCCAUCUUUAGAGACGAAAUAGUAAAAAUAGCUAACACGUAUUGAUUGUCAUUUUACAAUUGGGGAAAUUGAGGCUUAGGAGGUAAGUAAGAAUUGGUCAGUGACGAUCUCUGACUAGUACUCGGGGAGGCUGACUCCAGAACCCAUACUUUCAGCCAUGCUGUCUUGGAAAUAGGUCUUUACGUAAGGGCCACAUGUUUGCGUGAAUAGCAAUAGUUAUAUGUUUGCCUGCAGGCUAGCGAGUCUGUAUACAGUAUUUACCUAUGUAUUUAUGUAUUUUCAUCUGGAAAGUUGUGCUUGUACUAAAGCGGGGAGAAUCACUUGGUGAAUUUGUUAAGGUAUGUAGGCUACUAACGUUUUCAGGAAGUUUAUAGUGAAGAGAAGAGAGGGGACCCCAGUAAUUUGAAAAGAACACAUUCCAUGGGAGUUUUUUGUUUUGUUUUUAGACGUAAACAUGUGCAAAGUGAAGGGAAGAGUCGAGAAGAUUCAGGUAUUUUCCAAGGAUUUGCAUACGCAGCCGCAGAAGUCCUUUCGGUUGCUGGCACGAUACAAUCUUGUGGUCAUAGGCUGGGUGUAGCCCAAAGUGGGGGGCAGUCUACAGAGGAGCAGAAGCUCUGCCGUGAACAUUUGGGAGCAAAAUAACUAUUACUCUGGUGUAGAGUACAGAAGUUCUGCUUCUACAUUCCUCUUCUCCCUUUGCUUUAUUUCAUUUGUCUCCUGGUCAGAUGAACUCUUACAGGGACUAUUUAGAUGUGAGGGUAACCCAUCUGUUCUGAACAUGUGUUUAUUGAUAUAUUCUCUAAAGAUAUUCCAAAUAAAACUCCCAGGAAACAGGUCUUUCCCUGAAAACAAAGGGCUCCUAUUACCGUGUUUUUGCAACCAAUACGUAUUAUUAGAUGAUACUGUGUCACAAAGAAAUGUCUUUGUAUUCCUACUAAUGGUUGCUGUCUAAUAGUGUUAGUUGUGUGGCAGACAUAGGCAUGUUACUUGGGAAAUUUAAGGAUUGGUUUUACGGUGCUUGCAGUUUGGGUGAGCAAAGUUUGUAGACCCACCAGGGCAAGCCUGACGUAAGCAUGAGUGUUGGCAGUCUGGCAUGGAAACAGCUCUCCAACCCCGUCUCCUUCCCUCCCUUGUCAUCCGCGUCCCUCUUGACCACCAAAGCCACAUUUCUCCGGCAUUGCCAAACCACCCGUAUUUCCUUUGCACAGCUCUGCCUAGGUUGCUCGUGGGCACCUCCUUCAGGAAAUUUUCCCUGAUUUCUCCUCAGAAAACAUUGAAAAAUCCCUUCCCUGUGUCACCUCUGUGUCCUGUGCAUGUUUGUCUCACUGCAUUUAUCACGACCUGUCAUAUUGUUUUUGUUGACACGUUGGAUACCCCUACUAACUGAGCUCAUCAAAAUUGGAAAUGGGGAUUAUUUAUCUGUGUGUGUCUGACACACAGUAGGUUCUUAAGUUCAUUGCGUCGGUCUGAACUGAAUUUGAGUUGCAUUAUUUGUGUUGAUAUUUGCCUGUGUCACCCGUCUUCGUUAACCGUCUUCACCUCCUCUGCUACUAGCUACUAGGCUGAAAACCCACAUCCUUGCACAGAGAACGCAGAAUACCACCAACACAUUCUUGUAAAAGGAGUAGGAGGGAGAGGGCAAAAUGGAAUCAGUUUUUCACUUGUGUCCCAAUUUUGUUCUUGACUGACCACUUGGGUGGCAUGAAUUUUCUUGGUUACUCAUGCACACUGGAAGAGAUACUUAAUAUUGUCACGUUCAACUUAUUUAGGAAGGAAGAAAUGGCGCUGCGUUACCGAUGGACAGACGUCUGUGUGCAGUGGCAGAAUACAGACUCUUCGUCACAUUUCAUUACCCCAUAAUAUUCAGGUUUGGUGUUACAGAGCUAUUUGUACUGUCCCAUUAGAGCUUUCUGAGAUGAUAGAAAUGAUUUAUAAUGAGGUGUUUGUAAUGACUUAGAAGUGAUAGCCACUAGUCACUUGAGGCUGUUGAGUACUUUAAAUGUAACUAGUGUGACAUAGGAACUGAAUUUCUAAUUGAUUUAAAUGGAAAUAGCCACAAAUGGCUAGUGGAUACUGUACUGGACAGCACAAUUAGAGAGGACUGAUUAUGUUUCAGUUUAGUAUUUGACAGGUAAAUGUUUAGGCCAAGGUCUUCUGCCUUUAAAAGAAAAUCUUGGUUCAUUUUCUGGGGCUUAACACUGUGUGUCUGGUUCAUAGAUUAUAAGGUGUUUACUGGGUGCUAUUUUGACCUGUGUGAGGCCUUCAUAUUACAGAGCGUUUGUCUGUGUGUUCUGUGAGCUUUUCAUGUAGUUCAUGUGGUCUCCCUUUUUUAGGAGCAGAGUGGAGUGAUGACGAGUAAUUAUGAUUAUGAAUAAUUAUUUACAAAUCAAAUGGAGUUGAGCCCUUGGCGUGUAAACUGAAUGGAAGUCCCGUAAGUUCAGUCAACGCUUCUCUAAGAUGUCUUGUGAGGAGCAUGAGCUGUGUUUGUCUUGCUGGCUGUUGUCUCCCUCGUGCCUCAUAGACUGCCUGAUGCCUGGCGAGUGCUCAGAAAUGUUUGUUGAAUGAAAGAAUGUUGAAAUAAUUUUAACCCCUCUAAUUUAACUUCAGAGGGUAUAUUGUGGAGCUGAAGAGGAGGCUGAGGACCAGGAACUUCACUGAAUUUACAGUCCUUCCAAGGAAGGCCAUCUCUCCAGGGCAUUAUUGUUAAUUCAGUGACUCUCAUUUCUUUCCUGUAAAGUAUGUAGCAGGGAUUAUUACCCUUCUUUGACGACGAAUUGAAAAAUAAAGGUACAAAAUUUGGUCAUAGAGGUCAUCCACAGAGAGUUGGAAGUGUAAGUCAGAAUGAAGUAGUUGUUUCUGUGGCCUUGUGUGCUCAUCCCUGGUUCUUCCGAGAAAUAAAAUCACACGCUGAACUGUAUUAGUUAGAAAAUUUGGUUUGUAAAGUCAAAGGUGACUAAAUAUGUUAGUGGGGUUGGAAAACAGGGUUGAAAACAUCCCUAGUCUGGCAUGACAUUGAGAAAACAGCUUCAGUAUGAGAAACAGGAAUGGAAACGUUUAUUUCUGAAACCUCUAAAUCUCAAUCUGUGGUAAUCCUGACACCCAAGUUAUAAACUUCUCAAAGAGGAUAUUUAAAGUGUAAAUAGAAACAGAUGUGUAGUCGGGGAGAUAACCACUACUAGACUUUGAAAUAUUUAUAUAAAAAGGUACGAGAUACAUCAAACAUCUGUUUAGAACGAGAGCCCUAGGGCCGAAAAUUGUAGAUGUCGUUUCAUGUGGUCGAUGUUGCAUUGGUGGGUUGAUGACGCAGCCGAGUAUGUGGUCUUGUCCUUGUAGGAGAUGACGCAUAGUGUACCCUCCAUGCUGUGCGUCAGAGGCACCUACUUCGUGGUGUUGUGUGUGGCUUGAUUCUAGGCCUGUCCUCGUUCCUGGGACACAGUCUAGCUUCCUAUCAUUCUGCCACUAUGUGUUCCACAAAUGAAAACUAAUUUUAUACAAGAGAAAAUAAAAAUCUGUUGACUUAAAAAAAAGUCAUAGGAUACAUUCCAAGAUAAAAUCUGAAGGUUUUUUUUGGGGGGGGGAGGGUUACUUUGUUUAAUCAAUUUUUGGCCUAUUAGUCCUUUAUGAUUGCUUUUCAAAGCCUUUAAUGUGAACUCUUUGGUGGAGGGGGGAAAAGCCCCCAAAACCGAAAGCAGACUGUCAGCUAUGUCCCGUAAAUUCUUGCUGUUGCCCGCAAAACCAAACCGAAACAGCCAUAACAAGACAAAACCCACUACUGCUAUCAGCAACAGAAGUUAACCCAACCAGCCAAACAAACAGAGAAGCCUGUGAGCCCUGACUUGUUGCUUUUGUGGGGAGGUCAAUAAUGUGAAGUCUUUUUUAGGUACUACAUGUAAAUUACUCACAACAAGAAAAUUUGUAUCUGCCUGUCUGUCUAACUGUGAUUUAAGAAGUAAUACUGCAGUAGAACAAGAUGUUUCCAGCCUGGGAAAUCCUGAGGGCCUGCUUGGAUUCAGGUGUACUGUUUAAGAAUUAUUUUGAAGGUUUAUUGAGAACUAUCUCUGGUGACCUUGGUCACUAACUUGAUCUAAGAGUUGCAGUUUCUGGCUUCAUUUCUUUCUCAUCAAUGAGUGGCUGGAUUGAUCGGUGGUUCUCAGACUUUAGUGUGUAUGCGAAUCACCCAGGGCUUGUUAAAACCCAGAUUGCUGGACCCCCCCUGCAGUUUCUGACUCAGUAGGUCUGGGGCAAGUCUCAUCAUCUGCAUUUCUUACAAGUUUCCAGGUGAUGCUGAUGCAGCUGGUCAGGGGACCACAUUUUGAGAACCGCUGGAUUAGAUAAUCUCUUCUAAAGGGGUAUGAUUCUGUGCCUGUUUUUCCUUCUUUUCCAGUUGCAGCACCUGUUGUUUGAUUUCUGCACUGUUCCAUCGUUUAAGGAUUGCUGUAUGGCAAACUGAGUUUUAAAAGUAUCAGAUGGAUACAGAGUUUCUUGAGAAUUCCAUAUAUUUUGCAAAAACCUCUGGUCUGUUAAAACUCAGGUUGGGUCUUCUUACUUAAGUAGAGUAGAUGUCUCCAGUUAAAAUAUAUUGACGUAUUUCUGUUGUUAUUAAAUGACAGACUAUUUGCCGCUCCUUAAACCUAAGUGUUGUAUCAAAACGAACCAAGGACCUUUUAAGAGACAGCUCCAGAGUAUGAUGCGGUACCUUACAUAAUUGUGGGCUCACUAAAUAAAUGGUUUUUAUGAGACAUAGUUUUUUUCCUAGUUAAAACUCACUGGAUUUGGAUGCAUAAUAGACUCCGAUAGCGUUAACCUAGACAGUCUCGGAAGCUAACUGCCUCACAGAAGAUUCGUGGUUGCAGGAAAGAGAUGUCAGUCGAGAGAUGAAGAGUAAGUCAGGGCAUAACCAUUCCCUGUUUUGGGGACUUUGGGGAACACUGGAAGCUCUGCAUUUUCUAAAUAAAGGGGCUCUGGGGCUGGAGUCUGGAAGGAAAGCGAUGAGAGACCAGGAGACGUCUUCAAGCAGCCCUUGGAGAGCCAGCACACUGUUCUUACCCAGAGGGCGUGUUUAUUUGGGGGAAAGGGUUCGGCUUUGGGAGGGGUUCAUGGAGAGUCCGAGGCGUUCUAACAGGUGGUGCUCUGGAGGCAUUCCAGAUCACACCAGACUCCCAGGUGCCAAGAGUCCGAUGGACUCAAGGUUUGAGGUGAGUUGAAGUGAGGUUUGACAAUACAUUCUCAAGUGAGUUAAUUUUUUGAAGAGGAAAGAAUAGUAAGAUUUUGGAGGGAAAAAAAAAUCUCAUCUAAGAAGAAGGAAAUAAAAAAGAAGAGUAGGGAAUGGGAGGGUAAAAAUGAAAAAUUUUACAUUUUGAGGUGUUCUAAAACUCUGUGUAUGUCAAGACUAGUCACUAGCAUAGGCUUCUUUGUUAGAAAAUAAGUUAAGGAGUUUUCCUAUUCAUUUCCGGUGAAUACUUCAGGAUAUCACCAGAUACUAUUAUUUGACUUACAUCAAAUGGCUUUUCAAAGUUAGGCCCAGAGUUCAUGCAGUGCUUACUUUUUUAGGUGGCUUUAUGAUGGCUAACCAGUUUAGAUCAAAUUCCUGGCAGGCACGUGCCGUACUUAUGGCCCGGCGGGUUUAUGGAUUAGGGAGCAAGUCAUUUGUGUAGCGUAGGCCACAGAGCUGGGCUGAGACCAUGGGGUCUCAUUGCUUUUCACAUUUGCCCAUGGUAGUUUUGUCUUGAAAGUCUCUGUUUUCUAACUGCUCUUAUAAAAUGUUUGAACUUUAAAUCUUGGAGUUGAUUUAGCAUCUGUAUAAUUGAUUGUAGAUUAUAUUUCGUGGAUAUGGCCCUGAGAUUUUGACCUGUUUAUUUCUUUGAAAAGAACUACAUGUGAUUUGCUACUCAGAUGUGCAGGCAUUUCUUGACUCAAAUAUCUGUGACAUAAUCUUCGUAACUAAAUCUGUGAAGCUGUUUUGAAUUCUUUGGACUUGACAGUUUGAGGCUGGGGUUGGCAGUCUGUAUGACAAGAGUGCCGGGGGUGGCCCACGGGCCAGUUAUCCUGGAACAGCCAGGGGGAGGGAGGUGUUGCUGUCUGAUCCCCUCCCCCAACUUUCUUAGAGUUUGCCACCCCACCCCCCCCAAUCCUUCCUCCCCUCCUCCUCAGGACGUUUAAAAAGCUUCCUGUGCUUUAAAGAAUUAAGACACUUAGUGUUUUUCUUGUGUAAUCACACUAGCACUUGGCGACAUCAGUCUUUGCUCUCCCACGUCUCUCCGGGUUCCUUUCUUCCAACUUCGGUUAUUUCUCUUUCUCUCACAGCUGCGCAUCUAGCUUCUCCUGCUGACUCCUGAUUGACCAUAGCCCCCAUGUGGAUUUCCUUUAUCGUCCUUCCUCCACAUUUUCCUCUUCUUCCUUUGCUGGUUAGAGGUUCUGUUUCUGUGCUGUGGCAGAUCUUACUUAGUUUGAUAGGAAGAGUAUUGAGGUAGGAUAGUUUUAAUAACUGUGAUAAUGAUGAGUGGGUGCCUAUCUCUUUGGAUACUGAGCUUGGUGCUUAUAUUCUUUCCACUGAAUUCUAGUUCCCACUAGCUAUAGAACCUUAGGAGAGUGUCCAAGUCUGUGCCAUAGGCUGCUCAUCUGUAAAAUGAGGGGUUGGGGGAGCAAGGUGUUUCUCCCCUAAAAUGCCAUGGUUGAGUUUAUUCACAUUGUGGUCUGGUUGUAAACUCUCAUGAGAAUACUUGUGGAGCUUUUUGAAAGACACCUGUUAAACAAGACUGGUCUCAGUGCAUCAGGACAUCCAGGACUCCCUAAAUUAGGUCAUCUGCAGUAUGGCUGGCCAUCUUUUUCCUUUAGGAGUUAGGGAUGGCUCUCAAGGGCACCCUUCUCCAUACUUGUGCUGUCUGCAUCAGAAGACCCAAAAUUGAACCAGAACUGGAAAGGCUGUUGACCGUGAUUUGGAAGACCCUGCUGCUCUCAUCUCCACGCUGGAGGCCCUGGGCUUCUAGAGACGUCCUUUCAUUGAUGGUAUUCAGACCACUAGGGGAGUUUCUGGGAACCUGCUUAAUACUUGUAUUAAUUCUUGUACAACUCAGGAAAACAGUCCUACCUCAGAUCUUUCUCUUGCAAAAUUGUGUGUGGUCUGUGACCUUGAGUGCUUGUUUCCUGUUUCUAGGGGAAUUUUUGUUAGUAUUGAGUCUUUUUGUAACGUUCACAACUACCUCCAGCUACUUAUCUGUACCUUGUCAAGGCCACUGACGAUUGUUUUGCUUUCUGCUUUUAUAUUGAUGUAUCAUGCAUUCAUUACACCUAUUGUCCGUUUUCUAAAAAAUCUACAAUUAUCUUCUUUUGUUUUUUUAUGUUCCCAGCAAGGUUAAUCGUUGCUAUGCUAAGAACACUCACUUCAUCAGCUUUGUCCUUAGUGUCACUCGUAUUCCUUCAGCUUUUCCUAUUGUUUAGCUUUUCAAAAUCGGGUAAUACCUACUUUUUAUAGGCCCUGUCUAUUGUGAUGGCUCUUCAGUCUUCAGUGAUUAUUGCCUGAAAGUGCAGCACCACCAAGCCUCCCUGGAAUGGUACUUCUACUCAGUUCUUGGACUGAGGGAUGAAAUGGGAUUUUACCUCACUUGUUUUCAGGAAAUCUUUUCACUGCACCUUAUUCACGCUGUUCAGGGUUAGAAGAGAUGGCGUACUUUACCAUCUGGAGUUUCUCUGCCUCGUUGAUGAUGGAAGCGCAAACCUGCCGGUUUAUAGGAGAUGAUAGAUAACACCUUGUAACGUCUGAGAGAAAAAUGGAAGAAACAGAAGAACUUUUAAUGAAACAGAAUAAAGCACUGAACAGCCCCUGGCAACCACCAUUAUACUUUCUGUCUCUCUGAAUUUGACUACUCCAGGAACCUCAUCUUUGUCUGUUGCUUUGGGACACACAGGGGUCUUGUGUUUUAAUGUAGUCAGAUGGAUAUGGAGCACCUUGCCUUUUGUUACUUUUUUCAUUGCUUUUAUAAAGGUAAGAGUUGUUUUCUUAUCUCAAAUUCAGAAAUAUUUUCUUCUAAUUGUUUUCUUUUUUCCCUUUUCCAUUUAACUCUUUAAGCUCCAUAGACUUAGUUUUGGUGAUGAUUGUAAGGUAGGAGCUGAUUUUAUUUUUUCUAGAAUAUUAUCUUGUUCCCAUGUUUGUCCAAAAUCCCAGUAAAGCUGUGAUGCAAGCCAAAACACAUGAUUUUUCUUAUUUUAGUGCCUCGAUUUUCCAACUGGAAAAAUUGAGGAGACUGUGAUAUACCUGUGGAAGGGAGGAGCCGAGAAGGCGGACUGGUACCAGCUCAGAAGCUUCACCCCUCAGCCUCCAACUUGCCCCCUCUCUUCCCAGCUCAGAAAGUGUGAUGCUCAGCACAGGCUGCUGGGGCACAGAGACAGCAGCCAUGAGGGUCAGAGGGCCUCUGAGUUAGGGACUAGAUGGUCCAGAGUGAGCCUCUCCGAGUCUUGACCUUAUUUGCUUGUCCACAGCUAAGAUAAGCAACCAAGGAUUGGCUGAGUGGAGACUUACUUGCACUCAGGUUAUAGAUGUACGCCUGCCCCAGCCUGGGAAAGUCAGCAAUGUUGAGUCCGGUUUCAGCUGUCAGUCAGCUAAUCUGUGUAACACGGCAAAGUCUCAACUUCUGUAAUUUCCUAAUUUAUAGAAUUAGGGAGUUGAGAUGGAUACUCUUUUGAGAUUUAUUCUCAGUAAAUUAUGGUCUAGGCCAGCGGCAGAACUCGGUUGUGCUGUGAAUCUGUUGGCAGAUAUUUCUUGGUAACUAGUUCAUCCUUCUUUAAUUCAGUCAACCAGUAUGAUCCCAAGUUUAGUAAGAUGAUCACAGUGUCCUUUAAUACUCGACCUUGGAGAAUUUCUGCUUCUUGCCUUUCCUAACUGUUCUUAGUCUACCUCAAGCUUCCCUUCAGAAAGACUUCUGUUUUUCCCCAUAGUUUCUCCUUCUGCCCAGCUACCUCUCAUGUUUAAGAAUUAAAGAAAGAUGUUAGUAAUCAAGAAAUACCCCGAACUUAUUCCUGUCCUGUCAAAAGGCUGAAAUAAAAAUAUGAAAAUCAUUUUGAAAAACGUGAAGCAUCAAAGGGAUAAAAGUAUUACCCGUGAGAUACAAAUACCUGCUCUCAGUCAUAUUAAUUGUUUAUUAUUAGUAUUAAUAAAUUAUUAUUUAUUGACAUAUCAAUACAGAAAUUGCAUUUAGAAAUAAAACACCCACAGGCCAAACCUUUUGAAUUUCAAAUGUUUUAUUAACAUACUCUAUUUUAGAAAAGUAGCACAGAGAAUGUUUUUUAAGUAGUUUUUAUAUAAUGAAGACAUCUUAUCAGUCAAUCCAUUAUACUUAUUAAAGUCUUUUUAACAUUCAUCUCCGACUUUUUUUUUUUCUAAAAAUUGGCCCUGAGUUAAUAUCUGCCACCAAGCUUCCUCUUUUUUCCUUCCCGCCAAAGCCCCCCAGAACACAGUUGUAUAUUCUAGUUCUGAGUGCCUCUGGCUCUGCUAUGUGGGACCCCACCUCAGCAUGGCCUGAUGAGCAGUGCUAGGUCCACGCCCAGGAUCCAAACCCACGAAACCCUGGGCUGUUGAAGCAGAGCGCACAAACUUAACCACUCAGCCACAGGGCCAGCCCCUCAUCUCCUACUUUUUGAUUUCCAGAGUGAGUGAACAUGGUCUGAUAUCUGUGGCACGACUAAUAUAACACGCAAGGAUAAUUCAGAUACUAUUUAAUGAGGACCCUAUUAUAAGCUUAGAUACCUCAGAUGAAAAUUCCUAUGAUAUUGACAUUUUCCUCUUGAGAAUCUAUUUGCUGUAGUAAAAUACAAUGACCACUUGAAAUCUGUAGAACUUAUGUAGAGUCUGGGUAAAUCUAAACAGUGUUCUUCUUGAUGCUCCAGGAACAGACAGCACUAUAUAUUAAAGUAUAAGUAUUUAUACAUAGCUGCAACCGAUGUUUUAUUGAUUACAAUUAUGUAUUGCCUGAUCUUCAAAUAGCUUUGAAAAAUAGCCUUUAAACCUUGAAUGGAUAUGAUCUCGGAGAAACAGUUCCUUUAUUAAUUAAACUUUCAUUUCUUGCUGUGCAUCGCUUUGAUCUCAUAAUAUUUUUUAAAACGUCCUGAGGGCUUAUUUUCAAGGCUUCCAAACGAAUUUUUAUUUCUCAAAAGCCAUAACAUAUUCAUGGCUCGGUGAAUCACAAAGACAGUAUCUUUAAACCCCUGUUAAGUUUAUUUUUCUUAGUUGGCUAGCCUACUGCAUAAUUUUCUUUCCUUUGGGUCACAUGACUCCUCCCGUCCAUAGCACACGCACUUAAAAUUUUCACUUCCUGAUUGAGCCAUCAAGAUUACGUAAAAUGUAAAUCAGUCUAAAUACCUAAGAGCAGGAAUUUUAAAGGAAAAAUGCUGUCUUCUUUUUCUGUUUCAUUAUUGAUGCCUGAAAAAUAAGAGUGAGUGUGUGCUUGCCUGUUUGUGUUUGCAAACGAGAGACCGUUAGGGAUUUUUUUUGUCCCUUCCCUUUCAAAUUGAAUCAGACUUUGCUUUCAUUAUAAAAAUAAUGUACCAACUAGAUAGGCCGUGGGAGUGGUAGAGUUGCAGGACCGAAAUCAAAAUGGUUCCGAUGGCUGAGAGAGCUGUUCAUUUACUUAUGAUUCUUUUCAUGAGGUGAAUGAAGAAUACAGCAUCUCUCCAAAGGUAACGAUUUGAAACUUCAGAAUUGUAAAUGGCCGUUUAGGCUUUCUGCUGCCUGGUAUAAAUGAAAGUAAUUUCUAGCAGGCUGGAUGACACUUGCUUUCUCAUGGAUCUUAAACUCCCUCACUUUUCCUCAAAGCAAUUUUGAAGUUGUCAUAGUAACAGCAUGAUAUUUGAAGGGUCUUUUUAGCAGUUCUUUAGCUAGAGUUAAUUAAUUUUAUUAAUUCUGGAUGUUUUUCUUUUUACUCCUCUCUGACAAACAGGGGCCAUAAUUGCUCAAAUGUGUAUUUCAUGUUCUUUAUUUCUUGGCGGCUGUAGUUCAAGGACUUGUUCCGUCAGUUGUUUCAGGAAAGGAACAAGAAGAUUAUAAAUUGAUUUCAUGUAGGUUAAACUGGGUUUUUAAUUACUUGUCUGUAAAAUUGCCCUACCAUUGUAGAACCAGAAUUUAGUUUUAUUUAAAGAGGGGGGGGGUUAUGGGAGAUGUUCCCCGAAAUUUAAUUGUGACUUGCGUCCGGAAGUUACGGCUAUCCUUUGCUUCGACUCUGCUCUAUCCAGAAAAAGAAUUGAGGAACACAGAAGGGAAAUGUGUCAGACUUACAAGAAAAUAUUAUUUCUUUAAAAAUGCGACACUCAGCUGCAACACCAAAAGCAGGUUCCACAAAAGAAAAAAAUGGAUAAACCUGACUUUAUCAAAAUUUAAAAAUGCAGUACUCUUUGAAACUCUAAUAUGUACUAAUAUAAAUUAUCUUCUAGGAAAGAUCGUGGGAAGUUUUUAUUAGGAGAAAGUAGGUCGGAAUCUUCUAUUAGUAAAGCUCUGUGGCAGGAAUUCUUGCCAAUAUGGCGAUGGGUGAGAAAGGAGGCCCUUCUCUUGGGCAGGGACAGGGUCAGAAGAAAGAACGGUCUGUACUAGGUCUGGAGGCUGGGAAUUAAAAAAGUAUCAGAUGUUUGAUGCUUUUGUUUUCUUGUAAAAGUGAUCAGAGCGGUGUGGCACUUAGAAAAGGCAUCACGUGAGUUCUGUGGGUUUAAUGCUCGCACUGAUAUCCUUACUGUUCUGUGGAGGAUUUGUUCAGCCGGGGCGACUGAAGACCGUCCGGGUAGCGGCGUGUGCAGCCAACAGCAGUAAAGGUGCUAAUACACAUCCAGUGAUGUCAGGAGUUACAAGGCAGCGGUUUCAAAACACUGCAGUAAACAAGGUCAAAGUGUCCCAUUUUGCUGGAAGAAGGUUUGUUUUUAUGAGCUGGACAGUACAUGGAUGAAGUAAUUUUUGAAAACAAGCAUCAAAUUUGUAUUUUUUUUAAAAAAAUUUAUUAAGUUUUAAAAAAUUAACCGGAUGAGAUUUUUGUCAGGGUUACAUUUUUUUUGCAGAAUUGUACAUUUUCCAUGUUAUUUUUUUAUUGAUUUUCUGUAGUUUUCACAGAGUAAAUGAAAAUACUUCUGAUCUAGGAUUCUUAAAUGCUGUUUGAGAGCACAAAGUAUGACCCAGUACACGGCAAAUGCCAAUCACAGUCACCAGUAAACUGUUCCUUCUAAUCUGGUACCUUUCGCUCUCAUUUAGACAGGCAUUUUAAGUACGAGCAAGUUAAUGGCGCAGAAUACUGCUGACUGCGUGGUUCUCGUCUAAAUGCGUUUUCCAACCUUGAACCUGAGAAUGCCAGAGGCUCGAGUCUCUGGACGCUCAUCUGAGCAGUUAUCUGCUGGUGGCCUGGUUCCUGAGGUAACAAGUGGGUGUCCCGGGUGCGUGUGUGUGUGUGGUAACAACAGCAGUGGUGCCACGUGGCGCCCAGAGGUCGCCUCAGUCUGUCCUGGGAAUUCCUGGUCCCCGGUGCUUGCGAGAUGAGCUGUGAACUUGGGGCGUCCGGAGAAGUGCAGGCAUUUUGGAGUUCCACAGCAAACCUGGAUGUAAGCAUAAACACAGCUUUUAAAGUGAAAGCAGGGGCCCUGAGGAAGGAAUUACCCUCAUCUCAUUCCCGACCUGCUUACUGUGCCGGAAAACAAAGAAUUGGGAAAACAACGUAGUGUGGUUUUCAUUGUUAGUCCUGGAGGAUUCCAAAAUCUGUGUCUGCAAAUAAGAUGAGCUGGAGCGACGUGCUGUGCCACUUGCUGUUUCUACUUGCCUGUUCUCCUAAUCGAAGUGAACCCCUUGCUUCCAGGACAAGCCCAGCCCGUGCUCGGGGACCCUCGUGUGACUGUUCCGUGCCCAUCUCUCAGAAGACUCCAAGCUCAGCUCCUCUGCCUGGGAUGGCAUCUCUGCACAUGCCCUUCUCUCUCCCUCGUCUGUCUACCUGCCAACACCUGCUCCUCCCUAAGAUUCAUCUCAGAAGCUACUGGAGAGUGGAGGCCUGUAUCUCUGCAUCACAGCGUCUGGCAUAGAACUGUUGCUCACUAAUUUUUCAGAGGAAUAAAGGGACGGAGAAUAAAAGCAGCAAAGACCCACAUCACCAAGUGUUCCUCCUAGGGGUGAUGGAGCUCAGGCAAGAGCCCGGUUAAGCUCCAGGGCCCUUGAGUAAAGAUGCUGCAUGUCAGUACAGACACUGGGCAACUCUAUCACCCCAAUAACAACACUUACUCCCCUCGCCUUUGUGCUGUUCCCUGUCUCCAGUCAGCCCAUCCUACUGCCGAAUUAAUCUUUUUCAAGCAUGUGUCGAUCACUUCCUUACUCAAAACUCUUCAGUAGAAGGGCCCCCCACCUUCUUUAGCCUGGCCGUCCAGGACUUCCACAGCUUGACCCCAACCCGCCUCUAUUUCACACCACUUACAGGUGCCGUGAGUACCAUCCGUGUUCUAGGACUCCAAAAGUAUUUGCUGGUGGAUUUCAUUACUUAUUUGACAGGCAGUGUGGAAAAGCGCAUCCUAACAUUUCAGCUAAGACGUGUGUUACUGAACAUCUGUGGGUAUAAGGCGCUGUGCUGGUCACUGAACCAUCAGAGAGGCAGGUGGCGGCCUGUGCCGGCCGGGAGCUGACAGUCAGCUGAGGAGCAGACGAGAAAAUGCACGCGGCGUGAAUGGCAGAAACGAACGUGUCACAAGGCGGCAUGUGAUUGAUUCCAAAUAAAUGGCUCAGGACUGUGGUGUUGGUUAAACAAGAUAACGUGUGUGAAAGAACCUCUACCCUAUAAAACCCUAUAAGGCCUGUGAAAGUCCCCUUGCAGGCUGCCUUGCAGUCUGCCUCUCUCUCAUGCACAGAACUCUUGUUACACUUCACAAGUCGUAGGUACUCACCAGUCUUGCAAAGCCCUGGUCCACCUCCCCAGCCUCCUAUGCCCCUACCCUCGAACCCCAAGCUGCAGAGAUGCUGAAGAGAAGGCCCCGUGUUUUUUAUUUGGUACAAUGUCCCCAGAAACAUUCUUUCCUGCCCAUCUCCCUUCUUUGUCUAACCUAGUCUUCCUUUCAAACUCUGCUCUUCCUUUAG